UUUUAUAAUGUAAACUUAUUUUAUACAUUUCUGCAAUAAAGUAUAAAUAAAAUAAAUAUCUAAAGAUUUGCAAAACCUCUCUGUCGACACGGACAACGAACUGAGAUUAAUGAUAACAAUAAAUGAACUUUUGUUAUCAUUCAUCAAGUAAUCAUUAGAAAUAAAAUGUACACUAUGGGAUAAAAAAUACUAGAAAAAUCACGAGAUUCUUUCUCGGAAAAUGUUUCCAUUGCAAACGCAAUCUGAUUGGAAAUACCUAACCGUUUUGACACAAUGGACAAAAGAAAUUUGUCGCAAUUGUGAUGUAGACACUAAAUUUGGUAGUGCACUCGUGGAGCAGUAAUUUUCACUUUACUAGAAUGAAUCCUUUUUAACUGUUGAACCAUUUUGCAUAACAAACGCGCAAUGAAUAGAGCACAACAAAGAUGCUUAAUUACAAGACUUCGCUUUGUUAAUUAAAUAUUUCCUGAAUAAUUUUGGCAAGAAAUUGUAUUAUUGAGUUUGGUUCUUUAGGGUCGAUAUAAAUUUCAUGUUGCCUACUGCCUAUUAUAGGAAGAUAAAGUUUGCCAUGGUUGGAUUAGAUUUUGGUUUGAGGCAUCAUUUGAUUAGAUAUUUAUUUUAGUAAUCUACAAAAGCUAAUUUAAGAAAAAAAGAUUGAAUUACAUCAUAUCAGGAACAGAAAAAAUAUUUUGUGUUGUUACCACCAGCAGAUAUCGUUUUAUACCUUAUUUCAUAAGACCUAAACGCGCUUAAUGCGACUACAUAAAUAUACUCAUUUAAUAUUUUUAGAUUAAUGAUGGAACAUCAACGAGUCCAUAAAUAACAAACUCAUUUAAUUUAAACGAAGCUGUGUACUUACGCGUUAUUCUAAUAGUUACAACAAUAGCGAAUUUAGAUGUUAAUUUGAACUGUAAUUAAGUUUUAUUGGGCGGCGUGAUUGAGGUGGUAAAAAAAUAAAUAGUGUUCACAAGACAUGGGAAUCGCAGGUGGUUGGCUCGGUUAUUUCCGGUUUGUCCAGUUUUGGACUGAUGUCCGCGUGGGAACUAACGGUGCCGGCUUGUAAGACGAUUUGUCCAUUGACCAUUGUACUUGAUGAACACGAGAAAAUUAUUAUAAAAUAUCCAUUAUUUAUAUUCCUCAAUAUGAUGAUACGAACAUUAAAUUCCUCAAAUAUAUUGUAGUUAAAUACUUUAUUAUUUUACAAAAAUGUCCGCGGAAUGCUAGAAGCAUUUCGUUUGUUGACGAUCUGACAAUGGCUAUGAAAUACUUGUUUUGGAUUCUAGUAAUAGAUCAUUAGUCCAUUACACGAAAUUCUAAAGUUUAUUUAUACAAUAGUGUUUACAUAAUAAGCUUCGCUUUCACUGCAGAAAUUAUGUCACUCAUAAAUCCAUCUAGUAUAUUUUCCGAUUUCAUUUUGAACAAAACUAAUUUUAUUUUCCAAAGAUAUUUCAAGACGUUCAAUUAUUUUGUAUUGUCAGUGCAGGGAUAUUGACUACAAAUCGACAAUGGUGUGCGUGGGUGGCCAUAGCCAUUGCCUGUGGCAUACAACCAAUUUCUACCUCAAAGCGACGCGACGCUUGCGUAGCUAGUUGAGUAUCAAGUGAACUCGAUUCGCACAGCGGCUGGCGGCUGUCGGCUGUCGGCUCAGCCAGGCGGUUGCUCUGCUCUAGCGGUCAGUUUUGCUCCGAGCGCCAACACAUGUGCACGUGUUAUUAGCUCCACGAUCACUUGUUUACAAAUCGAAGGUAGUGCAAUAUCGCCGUCAACAGGAUAACCGUGACAGAAUCAAGGAGUCAAUCAUUAAAAUGGAAAGCUGGUUGGGCGAUGUCAAACGCGUCAGAAUCCCGCGGCCAAAAUUCGGGAACAAUAAAUAUCCCGUGGAGCCACCUAAGGAUUAUUUGGAAGAUUGCGGAGGGGAUCUUGGCAAGCAACGUCGCCAUGACAAAGACCUGACUAAGGCGACAGAAGAGCUACGUCGAUCGCUGCAAGAGAAACUAUGACCUAUCAACUGAGCAUUAGGUCUAUUUUAGAUUUAACUCUAGCCAAUGGCUUAAUGACCCCAUACACUCCCACUUAUACGAUUACACACGCACUUUGACGGACAUUGUUCGGAACAAAUGAUCGUGAUUUGCUAAAUUUACGAAGUGUUGUGGACACGGGUUGCGCGUGUUAAUAUCGUCCGGGUUAUUGUUAUCAAUUAUGUAGUCUAUAGUAAUAGUGUUAUUAUUUUGUUAAACAUUCAAUUAAGGAGUGGUUCUUGUAGAGGUGGUAAAUAUAUGAAUACCACAUCUACGUAACACAAUGAAAUUGGUGUAGAAGAAUGAGGUCGCUUUGAUACUUUUGACACACAUACUAUCCAUGUCACGGUAUAAUGUAAGAUUUAAAAGUGAGUGGAUUUGAAUGUCAAAUGCCCCUGCUUUACUUAUCAGAAACGAUAAACAUGUCGGUCGUGUUUUGUUACAAUAUAAAAUAUACAACUACCUGUUACAAAGUUACAAUGAAUAGAGACCUCGUCUGUCUUAUGUUAAAACAUAUUUUUAUGUAAAAAUGCUGUCAGUAUUAUUUUACAUAGAUUUUGUACACUUGUUAACUUCAUCUGUAAACAAUAAAAUUGUUUCACUUGCCAUAAGGUAAAAGAAUCAUGCUACAUAUAAUAUACUGAUGUGACUGUUAAACCAGUAUCCUUAUUAACUGCGUAUUAGACAUAGCUAAGGUAAUUAGACUGAUAUCAAUUUAGAAUAAGUUUAUUGAAUCUCGAUAGUAUUAUAAUACUUUUAUAAAUAAAUAUUGGUAUAUCGUU